UACGGAGGGUGCAAGCGUUAUCCGGAUUCACUGGGUUAAAGGGUGCGUAGGUGGGCUGGUAAGUCAGUGGUGAAAUCUCCAGGCUUAACUUGGAAACUGCCAUUGAUACUAUCAGUCUUGAAUACCGUGGAGGUCAGCGGAAUAUGUCAUGUAGCGGUGAAAUGCUUAGAUAUGACAUAGAACACCAAUUGCGAAGGCAGCUGGCUACACGAAUAUUGACACUGAUGCACGAAAGCGUGGGGAUCAAACAGG
rnacentral:rRNA from 1 species